rnacentral:rRNA from 1 species
GUGGGAGGCUUAGAAGUGUGGACGCCAGUCUGCAUGGAGCCGACCUUGAAAUACCACCCUUUAAUGUUUGAUGUUCUAACGUUGACCCGUGAUCCGGGUUGCGGACAGUGUCUGGUGGGUAGUUUGACUGGGGCGGUCUCCUCCUAAAGAGUAACGGAGGAGCACGAAGGUUGGCUAAUCCUGGUCGGACAUCAGGAGGUUAGUGCAAUGGCAUAAGCCAGCUUGACUGCGAGCGUGACGGCGCGAGCAGGUGCGAAAGCAGGUCAUAGUGAUCCGGUGGUUCUGAAUGGAAGGGCCAUCGCUCAACGGAUAAAAGGUACUCCGGGGAUAACAGGCUGAUACCGCCCAAGAGUUCAUAUCGACGGCGGUGUUUGGCACCUCGAUGUCGGCUCAUCACAUCCUGGGGCUGAAGUAGGUCCCAAGGGUAUGGCUGUUCGCCAUUUAAAGUGGUACGCGAGCUGGGUUUAGAACGUCGUGAGACAGUUCGGUCCCUAUCUGCCGUGGGCGCUGGAGAACUGAGGGGGGCUGCUCCUAGUACGAGAGGACCGGAGUGGACGCAUCACUGGUGUUCGGGUUGUCAUGCCAAUGGCACUGCCCGGUAGCUAAAUGCGGAAGAGAUAAGUGCUGAAAGCAUCUAAGCACGAAACUUGCCCCGAGAUGAGUUCUCCCUGACUCCCUGAGAGUCCUGAAGGAACGUUGAAGACGACGACGUUGAUAGGCCGGGUGUGUAAGCGCAGCGAUGCGUUGAGCUAACCGGUACUAAUGAACCGUGAGGCUUAACCUU